GGAUAAAACUGCUUAUUCAGAUGCUUUAAUUUUGGUUUUGCUGAUUAGAAGAGAUGUAAUUUUGCUUCACAAAGUAUGAGAUAUGAUGUGAUUGUGUGGCUGCAUGUGGUUUCUGUUUUGUGUACAAGGUGUGAAUGAAACUUAUAUUAAUUUCUUGCUUAGAUUUGAGAUGUCACCAAGAUAUCUCAUUCUGCACAUGCAAAUAGAUUAAAAAUGUGAAAGAAAAUCCAAAGCCAAAAUGCAUCUGUUCCCAAGCAUUCCAGAUAAGGGAUGCCCAACCUCUCAGGGAGUCCUGAGGGGAGUCUAUGCGUAGGGAGGGAAACCACAUGGUGCUGUGUGUAUUUAAAACAUCAUCUGGAUAUGAGGACAUCAGGCAGAACUGAAAGAGGAGCUGUGAUGGCAACUGAGUUGCGGUAUCCUGACAAGGUGGUCAUAGUAACAGGGGGAACCAGGGGCAUCGGCAAAGCGAUUGUCAGAGAAUUUGGUGAGUUAAGAGAGAGAGAACUGGGCGUGGAAAUAAGAACCAUAUAUGCUAGAAAUCAUUUAUUUAUUUACUAUAUUUAUUUAUAUAUGCUAGAAAUUAGAACCAUAUAUGCUAGUAGAGAAAGAGAAAGUCCUUGUAAAACUUGAACUCUCAGGAUUCCGUAACAUUGAGUUAAGUUAAGAUGGUAUCUAAUUGUAUUAAUUCUACAUUGUAGAUGCACUCUGCAAACAACAAUCAAUAAUGAGAUGGACCCUAUAUGGCAUUUGUGUGUGUGUGUGUCUAUAAGUGAUAAUUUGUGGCCAAGUAUGAUUGUCUUCCAAGGGUAGAGUCUUGGCGGUGGGUGCAUAAAUGACUGUAAAGACCUGUUCUGCAUCCGUAUAGUCUUUCACAAUGAGGACAUAGAUUUAUAGAUGGAAGGUGGUUCCAACAAGAGUUUGCUUGAUGCGCCUUCAUUUUGGCAUAUUUCUCCCUUUCACCCUCUUUCCAUGCCUCUUCAAAAGCCAUAGCACUGUUGAUAACAGCUAACCCCCAGUUAUAAACUUUGAGUGCCAGGACUUCCCAGUUCUCUGUGUUUAAACCAAUUGUUUUUAGGUUAGCUUUUAGCCUGUCUUUAAAUCUCUUUUGCUGUCCAUCGACAUUUCAUUUUCUGUUUUUGAGCUGAGAAUAAAAUACGUAACUGUUUUGGGAGAUGGUGAUCGGGCAUUCGGACAACACGGUCAAUCCAGCACAGUUGAUCGUGCUGGAUCAUCGCUUCAGUCCUGGUCAUUUUUGCUUCUUCCAGAAUACCUGUCCUUCCAAGAGAUUUGCAGGAUUUUCUGAAGGCAACACUGAUGGAAUCUUUUCAGAAGUCGGCAGUGUUGUUUGUAAACAGUCCAUGUAUCACAGGCAUAUGAUAGAGUUAAAAAGUACAAUAGCUUUAUAAACAAGCAUCUUGACAUACCUAUAAAUGUACCAAUCCUCGAAUACUCUCUUAACACUCUCUAUGGUAUACGUGGCAUGGUGCUGGAUUGCAAGAGUCUAAAGUGUGUGUAUGUGCUGACAAGGUAUUUCCGCUCCAGUGUAACUCAUCUAGCCUGGUAUUAAAUUGCUAUGAUAAAAUUGUGGGUGAGACAUUAUUCAUUUAUAUGAUAUUUUAAUUUAUAUUUUAGACAUUUGUCAGCAAACAGAGAACUAUUCAUUCAGCACUGGCUGUGGUAGAAAAUGCUUGGCAAUGUAAUUUAGCAGCAUUCCUAUCCCAUUCUCCUGAACUUGAUAUAAAAGAGUGAUGGCAUCAGGGCAGAGGACAAAACAACAAAACUACAGGCCCCCCAACCUCGAAAUUUGACAACACAACCCAUCAUCCACGGCUCUAGGUUGAUACAACAAAAAGAAAAGAAAAAUAAAGUCCUAAUUAGAGGGAGAGGAAUAAUUGUUUUUAUCCAAUUGCUGCCAGUUACAAGGCUAAGUUCCACCCACUUGGUCUCCUAGCAACCUAUUCAGCCCAGGGGACAGGCACAAGAGUUUGGAGAGACCCCUAAGGGCCAUCCAGCCCAACCCUUUCUACUAUGCAGCAGGACACAAUCCAAGCAUUCACAACACAUGGACAACGUAUAAAUACUAUACAAUACUACACAGGGACCUAGACCCCCUCUACCCUCACCACUUUCACAGUACACAAACAACCAAAUGCAUACUAAACAUAAAGACAACCAUACAACAGACAUUCAAUAUCACCACUAUCUCAACAAUUUCUCAUCAACACUACCAAUCAACGCCACAGCAACGCGUGGCCGGGCACAGCUAGUACUACUAUAAAAUACAUAUACUAAACACAUGGUACAUAUACAAGAUACAACUGCAAGUCUAAUAUCAAAAUUCAUUUAUGUUUCAUAAAUAAAUAAAUACCAUAUACACAUAGCAUGGAAGCCAUUUUAUAUAUUUUAAAUAAUUUUGUGUCUGAAGUAUGUAGGCAAAGUGUCACUUUCUCAGCCACCUAUAUGGACAGUUUUUGAAUAUGGAGUAUUUUGGUAGGCUCAAUCUGUAAUUGAAUAUUUGGUAUAAUCUAUUUUUAGUUUUUAAUUUAUUAAUGUGCAUGUGUGAACAGAGUUGUUAGUUUUUGUCUGGCAUUCAUUUACCCUGCUUCCUUUCCUUCCCAGUUCACCAAGGAGCCAAAGUGGUUUUCUGUGCCCCAGAAAGUGAAGAAGAAGAGGGGAAGGUGAUGGUGCAAGAACUGCAGAAUUGUGCAGGACCUGGGGAAGCUUACUUUCAAAUCUGUGAUGUUCGCUGUGAAAAAGCUAUUCAGAAUCUGGUUGCUGUGACCAUUGAACUUCAUGGAUACCUUGACUGCCUGGUGAACAAUGUUGGAAUCCAUUCUUACAAAACAAUCGAUGAUCUCACUUCAGAGGAAUUCCACAACUAUAUGGACAUCAAUGCUGUCAGCUAUUUCUUAGCCUCUAAGGCAAGUAAUAUCAAGAAAUUCACAGGAAGCAGCAUUAUAUAACAUCAGAACCUUGGUGCCUUGAGUUUGGUGGUUGAACCAUGUAGCUGUAUUAUAUGUCAGAAUCCAGCAAAGCACCGUUCCCCUGAAAAAGCUUCUUUUCUUUUCUUCUUUUCUGAGCUCUGAAAAACAGCACACACUUUGUAGACUUUGCUUAUUGGUUUUCUCCAGAGAAGUAAGGCAGAGGAUAGGAUGGGAAAUUAAAUGUUCUGCUAUAAUAUUUUAAGGUGGAAAUCAUAGAAUCAUAGAAUAAUAGAGUUGGAAGAGACCUCAUGGGCCAUCCAGUUCAACCUCCUGCCAAGAAGCAGGAAAUCGCAUUCAAAGCACCCCCGACAGAUGGCCAUCCAGCCUCUGUUUAAAAGCUUCCAAAGAAGGAGCCUCCACUCUUUUUUUUUUUACCAGUAACUGUAUUUUUUUUAAUCAGGUACCUUUAGCCGCUCCUCCUAAAAAAAGUAUAUUUUUGAGCUAUGGAGCACAGCGCACACUUUGUAACCAAAUGGUUCCAGGUUUGAUAAGGAGGUGCAAUAUAGCUUUCCACAAGGUGCCAUUCUACCCCCAAUGCUUUUUAAAUUUUACAUGAAACUGCUGGCAAAAAGAAAUCAUCUGAUGGCAAGGGGUGGGGUACUAUCAGUAUGCUGAUGACACCCAAAUAUGUUUGUCCAUGCCUUCAAAAACAGCUUUAGCUAAGGGUAGUGAAUCUCUUCUGAAUGAAUGCCUAGAAGCAAUCAAAUGGAUGAAGAAAUAACAAAUUAAAACUGAAUCAAGAUAAGACAGAGUUGCUAACUAUUAAGAGAUUGGGAAUGUGUCAGUCAGUUCUGGAUGGGGUUA